CUCACCAAAUAGAGAAAUAAAAUGGCUCUCUAAGGUCAGGGCGUGACAUCGGGAGUAAGCAGAGUCAUAAUGAUGAAGAAAACGGAGCGAUUUGUCUACACAAAUAAUAUUUUUGGAAAAACUGAACAUUUGCUAUCUGAGAUUCUCCUCAUUGAAAACAUCUGAAGUUCUUCACAGGGAACUGAAUAUCAGCUGACUCCAAUCGAGAUCUACGCGAUCCUGGAGAUGGACUUCAACAUUGUCAUGGGAAAAGAUACAGCAAAAGGAACCAUUUUCAGGUUUUCAGCUCUGAAAAGGAUUCCAAUCCCCACACCACAUUGUCCUCCAAUCAACUCCACAUUUGGAAAUCGCUCAAGGAAAUGUCCUUGGAACUGUGACCAGCCUGCAUGGAAGCCAUCAAAAAAAUGCAGUUUAACAGACAUGUAAACACAAACAGACUUGACAUGGAAAGCAGGCGGGAGGUGCAACCUAAGACAAACAAACUGAUUUAUUUUCAGAUCCUGUGACAUCAUAAUGACAACCUCCAGCAGCGAGGCCGGUGUCUAAAAAUAGGGAAGACGUCAAAGCGCUGGUACAUAUAUGUCCAUAAAGUGUGCAGCACAUUCCUCAGAUAACAGCAGAUGGCUCACAGAUUUGGGCGUAGCGGGGAGAGGAGGAACAGCCCACACUCGCUUCGCAUCGCAGGCCCUUUGGUGCGGCGGUUUACUGAGGAGAAAGGGAAGACUUCAGACAGGGCUACCAAAUUGUCCUGUGUGGAGGCAAACAGGGGUUUAAGAGGGACCCUGGGUUCGGCCAUGUUGUAGCAUUGUGUACAUAAAGCAGUCCUUGACCCCUAUCAGUGAGGUCCUGGUGGAAAAAGUUGAACCCCCUGAAACUGAGAGGCCAACAGCUGUUGUCUGAAGAAGACAUCCGCUACUGAACAUGCUCUGUGUUUUUUAAUUAGUUGUUAGGGUCAAGAUGUAGCUAAAGAGCCUUCCUGGUAACUGCAUGAGAAUUUCAUAGCAUGGAAAUUAUCACUUGAUACAUCUUGCUGAUAUUUGUAUUGUCGGCCUAGAUUAACACAUACAUGGUAGUUGAUGAAAUGUUUAUAUUUUUCGUAGAAGGGGAACCUGCUAUUGUUCCCAUAUAUCCCUUGGCUCACUCCAUGAUCUUGUUUUUCUCUCCAUCUUCAGUGGCCCCAAGACUGAACCAUGCACAUUAACCAAGGUUUCAUAAGGAUAACAGUUGAAUUAAUGACGCCCUUCUCCAGAGCCUUCAGCAGACUGUAAAUGGUCCAGAACGCUUGAGAACCCUGCCUCGGCGCAUCAUGUUGUCAACCAUGUUCAUGUCACAUUCUAUCAAAGUGGACAGCCCUCUCUUCCUCUCUCUUCUUCACUUUCUCCCUUAAACAUGCCCUAUCAUGGAGAACUACGUACCUUUGACUGUGAGGAAGAGGAGGAGACAAUUCGAUUGCAUUGCUGGAAAUAACAGUUUUAUACUACUCAGGGAUUUAUUCUACUUUUCCAAUAUCUAAUAGAGACAAAUAUAAACAUUGCCCCAUUGAAAGACUACACAUACUGUAGCAAUUUGUCCAAUAUACCCAUGGUCUCUGUGUGCACCAGUCAGAAUAUGAUGGACAUGAGGCUUACGUACUCCAGCCCUCUGAAGUCAUCGAUGUUGUGUGUGUGUAUCUGAUGUGCACGACGAGUUCCACAAAGCCUGCUGCUAGGCUUCUCUCCUCUUUAAGAAGGAAAGAAAAAAAAAAUGAAAAGAAGAGAGUCCACAACGACAUCAUUCAUCCUGGCCUUUUAAGGAGUGCUCCUGUGGAGGCCUUGUGAGCGCUGUGCUGGCCCACUUUCCCAGCUGCAGCAGCACACAGUUUCCCAGCCCCGUUCUCUCUUCUCCUGGGGAGCCAGGAGCACAGACACGGACUGUACUGAGACACAGACACACACAGUGACGAUUCAAAGACAUGCUGUACGGUUACACAGAGACACUCCGUCAGGCUGCUUAUGUCAGGGGUGUACAACCCCCGUCCUAAAGGGCCUCAGUCCUGCUGGAGUUAUUUUUGGUUUGGGAACUACAUCGUUGAUGAUGUCAUUGAUUAGCUAUGGUGAGGACAGAAAAUGGCAUACAUUGCAGGCCUCAUGGAUCGGAGACACCUAUCCUAUAGACACGCAGACAUGCACCGAACUAUAAACACAGAA